GACGAACGCUGGCGGCGUGCCUAAUACAUGCAAGUUGAGCGCUGAAGGUUGGUACUUGUACCAACUGGAUGAGCAGCGAACGGGUGAGUAACGCGUGGGGAAUCUGCCUUUGAGCGGGGGACAACAUUUGGAAACGAAUGCUAAUACCGCAUAAAAACUUUAAACACAAGUUUUAAGUUUGAAAGAUGCAAUUGCAUCACUCAAAGAUGAUCCCGCGUUGUAUUAGCUAGUUGGUGAGGUAAAGGCUCACCAAGGCGAUGAUACAUAGCCGACCUGAGAGGGUGAUCGGCCACAUUGGGACUGAGACACGGCCCAAACUCCUACGGGAGGCAGCAGUAGGGAAUCUUCGGCAAUGGACGAAAGUCUGACCGAGCAACGCCGCGUGAGUGAAGAAGGUUGUCGGAUAGUAAAACUCUGUUGGUAGAGAAGAACGUUGGUGAGAGUGGAAAGCUCAUCAGGUGACGGUAACUACACAGAAAGGGACGGCUAACUACGUG
rnacentral:rRNA from 1 species